GUGGGAACUGGAGGUAACAGUCUACAGCCAUGGUCGCCCCGCAGCACGCCCACGCGCCGCGCCACGCCGCGCCCCGAGCCGCGGGCUGGGGACGCGGAGCAGAAGGAGGCGGGGGCGGCGAGUCAAGAUCCCACGUGCCCGCGCGGGUGGCAGGAGGUGCUGCGCAGGGAGGCGGCCUCCCGGGGCCGGCGGCUGAGUCCACCGAGGCUCGAGCGCGCGCGUCCUGCGGAGUGCGUCUGGCGGCCAGCCUGAGGCCGUCCUGUCCUCCCGGCCAAGGAGGAUAAGAAGGGUCCCCAACCCUCUGGAAGCCAAUGAGCUUGUAAAGUUAACCUGGUCCGCGAAGCGUCUGAACAGAUCAGCCUGCUCACCUCAGCCUAUCUCUAGGUGCUGGAUUCCAAUCUGAGACAGUUUCUCAAAUUAGCCCUAAAGAGGAGUGAAUACCACAGGGGCUGAAGUCCUCUGGUGCGGAUGAAGUGUGAACAAGGAUCUCUAAAAAUAUUAUUGUAUAUGUCGCCUGCCUCUGCCAACAUCACCCACUACAGGGGAUGUCUAUUGAAUAUCAGGUGCACUGUGAGGAUUAAAUAGGAUCAUGCCUCCUUCCCUUCAGUUUGGGACUUAAAACUUCCACCAAUAACGUGAGUAUGUGCACCCAUGCAGCAGCCUGUCCGAGGACUCACAACUGGAGACACCUCCCUGCUUGGCGCUGCCCAGAAAACUAUGUAGAUGGCCAAGAAACCGACUUCCAUUAUAAAAUGUUUUUCUGUGUGUACCAGGAAAAA
rnacentral:lncRNA from 1 species